UUUGUUUGGUUUGGUAUGUGCUUAUCUGUAUUCCCAUUCUUUUGAUAACUUACAUUAAGGAUGAGGAAUACACCAGAAUCCUCACAUAGGGCCUGUUCCUAAAGUAAGGCAGGGUCUGCAGCAGGGCAGGCUAGGGAGUGAGUGUGGAGAGCGGGUGACCUACUGGGAACAUGGCAGCCACCUCCGGACCUCCCACCGCCUUCAUCACUUUGUCCUCUUUUCCCCACUUGAUAAAUGUCUCUCCCAACAAACACAUGCCAGACCUGAUUCUGAAAAUGUCUUCCCUGACUUCCUACCUUCUUAAUCUAUUGCGUGUUUUUUUUUUUUUUUAUAAAUCUAUGUGUUUUGUUCACCAAACAUAAUAAAAAAUGUGGACUCUGGUUCCAUCAUUGCCCUUUAAAAAUACUUCCCAGGCCACAAACCUCCUAUUACUUUGAGUCCAUUUUUGCCCUGGACUUUGUGUAGCACUAGAUCCUCUCUCUGCUUCCUCCUGAUUUUUCUUUCUUCUUUGGUUGGCUCUGUCAUCUUGUUUGUUGCCUUACCUUCCAAACUACCCUGAGAUCUUCAGUGUCACCAGAUACUCUCUCACAGGCCUCAUCUGCCAUUGAUUCCACCCAGGCUAUUCCUAAGUCCAAAAGGCGCUUCCAAAAGUUUGCAGAAAACAGAAUUUUUUUUCGCAGAAAACUUUUAUUUAAGGUAUACAAACUUCAUGCAUUUCAUAAAUACAACUUUAGGAACAUAGUGACUUCCCACCCACACUGGCACCCUUCUUCCUCCUCCCUCUCCUAUUCCCAUUCUUAGAAACUAGAAUUAAAAGGCAAGUUUGUUUGGCUGCUGGAAGUUCUGAAAUUCAUGCAUUCUUCAGAAUGCACAUUUUCCAUGAAUUGUUAUACCUGCUAUUUGCAGCUUUUUCAUAAUAUGCAGACACUUUUAGAAGACCCCUGUAUGCAUGUAUUUCAAGAAUUUUUUCAUCGGAAAUAUUUUAAUUGCAUUGCCCAUAAUCCUUUUGAAGCCCCUUCUUUGGUUCCCCCUUUCUACAUAACAAAAGAUUAAGCCCAUUCCACACAUCCCUCACUCCCCAGUUGGUCCCUGAGCUCUCUCUCUGUCCCACUUUCUCUGUAACUCAGGUUUCCAGCCAGAGGAGUUGUUUACUUUCUCCAAAUCUUUCAAGUCUUGCUUUCUAGCCUUUGUUCUCGGAGCUCUGCCCAGAGUGAGUUCCCUGGUCCUCUGCAAGGUCCAAGUUAAGGUCUACCUGCCCUGGCUCCGAGCAGGCUCGACCUAUGAUAUACUCAGCGGUUUCUGGGUUGCCAUUUGUCCAGCUUUUAACAUAGGUUGGGUAUGAUGGCCUACAAAGCUUUCUGUUCAAUCUGAUGGACACUUUUUAGUGGCAGCAACUUUGUCUCCUGCUUCUCUAUGAGGCACUCCUGAAGCCCGGAACCAGCCAUUACCCUUUGCUGGUUUUGUUCACAGCUCACAGCUGUCCUCAGUGACAUCAUGCACACUGCCUGUAUUCUAAACUUGGCAGGCAUCACUCUUGCUUGCUGGCUGUACAGCACCUCAUGCAUAUGGGCGUUCAAGUGUUGACAACUCCUCAUUGCCAAACUCUUUUAUGGGAGUAGGUAAAAAGUGACAGAGCUGGAGAUCAAAAUGCAGUUAAAAGGAACCUCUGGUUCUACUUCUCCUAGUAAAUUUCUCUUAAAAUGCUGCCACCAGCACCACCCUGCCAUCUUCCCAGAUUCCCCUGGACCUUCACUUCUCUGAAAGCUUUCCUAGAUCUCUGGAAAUUGGGUGACACGGUAGCAGUUACUACACCACUGCUGUGUCUGCUUUGUCUCGAUUCUGACAGUGAACUCAAAGGGCAAGAAUUGUGCCUCGUUCACACAGCAUAAUAUGUACUACCCAGUUAGUAUUUCAUACGUACCUUUGAAUGAGUGAUACCAAACAGGUGUACAGGCAUAGAGUGCUCACUCUUUGUUAAAUGUUCUACUAAGUACCUAACCUGCAUUGUCUUCUUUAGCACAACCCUAUGAGGAAGGACCAUUUUUCCCAUUUCACAGAUGAGGAAGCAGACUCAGGGUUAACUGGUUUGCCCAAGGGGAUAAGUGGCAGUUCUGCUCCAGGCCUACGUGUACAGCAUUUAACCAACAACUGAAGUCUGAUGAUGCUGGCCUGGGAGUGUCCUGUGAACCAUAUAGGUAGAGAGGCGCAUGUGCCCACAAAGACAAGCUUCCUGCAACUGCACACUGGGAGGCAGUGGGGAUGGCUCAAGUACUGAGUUCCUGCCAUCCGUGCAGAAGACCUGAAUGUGUUCCUGCCUCCUGGCUUCAACCUGGCCCAACCCAGGCUGUUGCUCUCCAGCAACGAUGAAACUGGACGACGGUCAAGUGUGUUUUUCUCGGAAGUCGAUGAUGGCCUUCCAUAGUGAGCACAGCAUCCCUCCCCUGUUUAAAAACACAAGAACAUGGCAAGGAGAACACUGCAUUUGAAACAUUGCCCUU